UGAGGAAUAUUGGUCAAUGGGCGCAAGCCUGAACCAGCCAUCCCGCGUGCAGGAAGACGGCCCUAUGGGUUGUAAACUGCUUUUCCAGGGAGAGAAACCUGCGCACGUGUUACGCAAUUGACGGUACCCUGGGAAUAAGCAUCGGCUAACUCCGUGCCAGCAGCCGCGGUAAUAUGGAGGAUGCAAGCGUUAUCCGGAUUCAUUGGGUUUAAAGAGUGCGUAGGCGGACUAUUAAGUCAGUGGUGAAAGCCUGCAGCUUAACUGCAGAACUGCCAUUGAUACUGAUAGUCUUGAGUUUGGUUAAGGUAGGCGGAAUGUGUAAUGUAGCGGUGAAAUGCCUAGAUAUUACACAGAACACCAAUUGCGUAGGCAGCUUACUGAGCCGACACUGACGCUGAGGCACGAAAGCGUGGGGAUCGAACAG
rnacentral:rRNA from 1 species